rnacentral:rRNA from 1 species
CCUCCGUAGGGGGACCUGCGGAGGGAUCAUUACCGAGUUUACAACUCCCAAACCCCUGUGAACAUACCUAUACGUUGCCUCGGCGGAUCAGCCCGCGCCCUGUAAAAAGGGACGGCCCGCCCGAGGACCCUAAACUCUGUUUUUAGUGGAACUUCUGAGUAAAACAAACAAAUAAAUCAAAACUUUCAACAACGGAUCUCUUGGUUCUGGCAUCGAUGAAGAACGCAGCAAAAUGCGAUAAGUAAUGUGAAUUGCAGAAUUCAGUGAAUCAUCGAAUCUUUGAACGCACAUUGCGCCCGCCAGUAUUCUGGCGGGCAUGCCUGUUCGAGCGUCAUUUCAACCCUCAAGCUCAGCUUGGUGUUGGGACUCGCGGUAACCCGCGUUCCCCAAAUCGAUUGGCGGUCACGUCGAGCUUCCAUAGCGUAGUAAUCAUACACCUCGUUACUGGUAAUCGUCGCGGCCACGCCGUAAAACCCCAACUUCUGAAUGUUGACCUCGGAUCAGGUAGGAAUACCCGCUGAACUUAAGCAUAUCAAUAAGGCGGAGGAAA